rnacentral:lncRNA from 11 species
CUCAAUACUAGAAUGACAACCUUAAGGUGAACCAAUCAUGGGGUUUCCUUGGUAAAAUUGUUCAUGAUCAAAGUUUCCUCUGAGGCUAAGAGGUUAUGAUUUUUCAUGGUUGAGUGCAAACUUCAAUCCUAGGUCUCAAGGAUAAUAGCUUGAUGCUCAAACCAUUACACUACAAUGGUUCUCCCUAAUACUAGAAGACAAGUCCUAAUUUCUGUAAAUUGGGUGACUACAAAAGCAAACUAUCUUUGCCCUUUGUUCUAUUUUAUAUUUCUACCUUUUGCAUUUUAUAGAUCUUAAACAGCUGUCCUUGUUUGCUGAACUCUUUAACUUGAACUCAUUAGCUUGCAAUUGUUUUCAUGUGUUCAUUUUACCAUUAGUUAAUAAUGAAAUGUUAAGUGUUCUGUGGAACCUUUGCUUAAGGCACUUGCUACAGAUCAUUGAAUGGUUUAAUUAAGACUCACUGUUGGAUGAGGCAUGAACUCUGUUCCAGUUUUAACAUGGGGAAGGACUCGUCAUUUGAAUGUAACACAAGGUAGCUGGAGGAGGAUGAUUUCUUCUUCUGUCUGGAUCUGUGUAGGUCACCCAACAUCAGCAUGGAGUAUUUCUUUGAUUGAUUGUUUGUCCUUUCCAUCCAUGUUUUCAAGGGAACAUUGGAAGCUAAACCUCAGAGAGAAGAUGAUUGUCACAAUUCAUAUGACUAUGGCUACUUUUUCUAUCAUUGCUAUGGUGCUAUGCAGCAAAAUAUCAUUCACAGGCUCAAAAAUGCAAGAGAAACAGAGAUAUGGGGGGGGGGGGUUACAUUAUGCUUGCCAAAAUGCUAUACUGUAUAGAACUAAGAUUAUUUCAUUUACUUCACUGAUAAUGAAAUAGUUUCUUAAAUAAACCUCUUGUGAAGUAUUAUUUAUUUUUUAAAUAUAUAUCAAAACUCAAAGAUGCAUCAAAAGAAUGGUGCUGAUAUAAUGUCACCCCUCCCCAAAUAAAUAUUUCUUAAAGACAGGUGUGCUGGUAUC